GACGAACGCUGGCGGCGUGCUUAACACAUGCAAGUCGAACGAAGUGGAGAAAGGGUGAGUAAGGCGUAAUCAACCUGCCCUUCAGAGGGGGACAACAGUUGGAAACGACUGCUAAUACCGCAUACUGGAGGAGGGGAUUGUGUCUGAUUAGCUAGUUGGAGGGGCAACUGCCAACCAAGGCGAUGAUCAGUAGCCGGGCUGAGAGGAUGAACGGCCACAUUGGGACUGAGACACGGCCCAGACUCCUACGGGAGGCAGCAGUGGGGAAUCUUCCGCAAUGGACGAAAGUCUGACGGAGCAACGCCGCGUGAGUGAUGACGGCUUUCGGGUUGUAAAGCUCUGUUAAUCGGGACGCGGUACCGGAAUAGAAAGCCACGGCUAACUACGUGCCAGCAGCCGCGGUAAUUC
rnacentral:rRNA from 1 species